GUGUCAGCAGCCGCGGUAAUACGUAGGGUGCAAGCGUUGUCCGGAAUUAUUGGGCGUAAAGAGCUCGUAGGCGGCUUGUCGCGUCGGCUGUGAAAACCUGGGGCUCAACCCCGGGCCUGCAGCCGAUACGGGCAAGCUAGAAUUCGGUAGGGGAGACUGGAAUUCCUGGUGUAGCGGUGAAAUGCGCAGAUAUCAGGAGGAACACCGGUGGCGAAGGCGGGUCUCUGGGCCGAUAUUGACGCUGAGGAGCGAAAGCGUGGGGAGCGAACAGGAUUAGAUACCCUGGUAGUCCACGCCGUAAACGUUGGGCGCUAGGUGUGGGCCACAUUCCACGUGGUCUGUGCCGUAGCUAACGCAUUAAGCGCCCCGCCUGGGGAGUACGGCCGCAAGGCUAAA
rnacentral:rRNA from 1 species